UCGGAGACUGAUAGUGGAUCACAAAUUGGACGAGUCACCAGUUGCAAAAAAAAGGCUUAUACGCUGAGGUGUCAUAACAGGAGUAUUGUACACUUCUACCUCGAUAUAAUGUGACCCGAUACAACACGAAUUCGGAUAUAACAUGGUAAAGCAGAGUUCUGGCGGGGCGGAGCUGCGCACUUCCAUGGAUCAAAGCGAGUUCGAUAUAAUGCGGUUUCACCUAUAAUGCAGUAAGAUUUUUUGGCUCCUGAUGACAGCGUUAUAUUGAGGUAGAGGUGUAUGUCAGACACAGGGGGUAAUUGCCCUGUUCUGCUUGGCACCGGCUGGAGUACUGUGUCCAGGUCUGGGCAGCCCACUGUAGGGAAGAUGUGGACAAAUUGGAAAGAGUCCUGAGAAAAGCAAUAAAAAUGAUAAAGGUUUAGAAAACCUGACCUAGGAGGAAAGGUUAAAAAAAACAUAUUUAGUCUUAAGAAAAGAAGGCUGUGGAGGACCUGAAAAGUCUUCAGAUACGUUAAGGGUUGUUAUUAAGAGGACGGUGACCAAUUGUUCUCCAUGUCCACUGCAGGUAGGACAAGUAGUAAUCAGCAGCACUCACCUGGGAUGUAGGAGACCCAGGUUCAAUUCUUCUUUCUGGAUUUGAACAGGGGUUUCCUACCUCUGAGCCCAGAGUUGGGCUGGUUCCUGUUCAUGGAUUGUUAAAGUGAGGGAGGGGUGUGCUGGCUGGCUUGUGUGGAUCUCAUUCUUCGAUCUCUCUCCCCAUUCAUUGUAGAGGGAGCCUAGCUGCCUAACUUGGUCCUGUGAUUUUCUACAUUCCUAAGUUAGGUGCUGUGAUGCUCAAUGCUGCAAUGCCUAAGUUUCUUUGUGGAUCCUACGCAUGGAGAGGAGGCGUCAGGAGAGCUGAGAUCAAUGCCAAACUUGAACAUGACUCUGACUCUUAGAGAAUUAGAACCUCAACGUGCCCAGCUGUCUCUCCUAUGAUUCUGCUGUCUCCAUUCCUGGCCAGCCCUCAGAAGUUUGCAAAAAAACUAUGCUCUUUGGAUCCUUUCUGACCGGAGUUACCAUUUUUCAGCCACUAAGAGUGUGUUUGCUGGGGAAUAAAGAUGAAAUCAGCCUCUGAGGAUUUAUUCUGAGUUUAGCGGCACUAACUCUUGUUGUGUGUGGUUCCCUAUGAAGUCCAUGGAUAAAUAUUCUCUGUUACACAGUGCUGCCAUGCUUUUGAGAGAAGGAUUAUAUUAGAUAUAUAUCUGUGAAGAUAAAAGGAGUGGGAAACCAAAACUUUUUUUCCAGAGAAGAGCAGGCCUUUUCCCAGUGCCCUGUCAAAUUCCUGUCUUGUGUAUAGAAAAAGGCAAGAGCUCACUUUGUUGACAUCAUUCAGUAAUUCCCAGGUGGUUCUGUGGUGCAGAGCCUAUAGGACAGUGAAGUGACUUCAUUCAACAAACGUAUUUCCCUCAAGUGGUGUGUGAUGACAGUUGGAAAAGCAACUAUAACAAUGCUGUCAUGGAGUUUCAUGAUUCAGUUAUUCCAGAUCAAAUUUGCUCAGAUGGCAGAUUCUCUUAUUGACCGCAUUGCAAGCUCUACCUAGACCUGAAAAUUCAGCUGUGCUUUCUGCCCGUGGCAUCAGCACCAGCAAUAAAGAUUCUGUGGUAGGAAAUGAGCUGACUCUGGUUAUGAUGUACAAGGCAGAAGAUAAUCCUUCUUUUCAUAUUCUUCUGCAGCCCUGCAGUUGCUAACAGGUCUUUUGAUGAAAUUCACCCUUAUGUACCACUUAAACCCUUAAAUGAUUCAUAGGUCUUGAGCUGCACAGGAGUGAAUUUCAUCUACAUUGAGGUACUCACUGCUUUCAAAUAUGGCAACAUUCAUGUGGAAAAUGUCUUGUAACCGUAGAACUAUCAAGAUGUUAACAAAUGGGAAUUUGUCUAAACAACAUUCCUUUUGAAAUAAAGGAGAAGGUCAUGGUUUAAAGGUUCACAUGUGGAAAACAUAGAGUGUUUCCUCUCUUGGAGUCAUGGAUAAACCCUGUAUUUCUCAUGCAGCCUCAGGUGUUGUUUUUUGUUUUUGUUUUUUUCCUAUGCUAUUAUGUGUGGUGCUUUUUAAAAAUUCUGUUCUUAUUAUUACCCAGACUGAAACCCCAAACCUUUGGAGUUAAAGAGUUCUUUGCCUCUGGAUUACUGCAUGAGUUAAAAAAGAAAUGUACUCCCCGGAUCAUUGGAGGGCAAGAACAUCUUUCAAACAAGAAUCUUAGUCUGUGUAGCUCAACCCUACUUUAGUUGGAAGUCCACAUCUUUAAGUGUGAUUUUCCAUGAAAAAUAAAUGGGUUUUAACUAAGAGAAUAAAAUAUUUCAUGAAAGCUCAUGCUCCAUGGGUUUUCCUAUCCCUUGUUCGAACUUGCUCUGUAUCGCAAUAUGAUCAUGUUGCAUCAUAAAGUUAUUACAAAAACAAA